GCUAGCAGUAGAUCUAGAUGCUAGUUAACCUAAUUUGAUUAGACCACUUCUAAUCGAUUAAGGUCCAAACUAUGUCAACCCAUGUUGUCAAAUUAGAAUCCUUUCUAAUUGACUUAUGGAUUAAUCACUUUAAUUCAUAAAAAUCUAUAAGAUAAGAUUGACAUCUAACAACGUAUCAUGCCUACCCAGAAGAUGAGAAAUUUGAUAAAAAUAUCAAAUAUAUCCUUCAAUG
rnacentral:lncRNA from 1 species